UUGCACACAGGCGGUGGUGAGAGGUUGUGUGGUCUUUACUGGGACGUGUGCCCAAAGUCAGCAUGCCACUGCAUGAGCAGGGGAUGUGCCUAACACAGCAGUGGAUGCCUGCUGACGCAGAGGUGAAGACAUCAACAACCAGUGGCCCCCGUUGUUGAUCAGACUGAACUACAAGGACCGAGCAUGAUGAGCAGAGGGUCAGGUUACCUGGAAUUCCAUCUUGAGUAAAGCAGAGCUGUGGCUGGAAAUCCCAAAGUCCGAGACAAGAGGUGGAUUUUUCAUUGGCUUCAAGUUGUUGUUUUCUUCAUUUUUUAUAUAACAGAAAACCCCAGCAUGGUGAAUGGAUGUUGCAUUUCACAUCUGCUCUGAGUUAUGCUACAGAAGGGAACCCACCCCUUCUCCAGUGGAUCAACAGGGUCCCCAG